rnacentral:rRNA from 1 species
CCUACGGGUGGCUGCAGUGGGGAAUAUUGGACAAUGGGCGAAAGCCUGAUCCAGCCAUGCCGCGUGUGUGAAGAAGGCCUUCGGGUUGUAAAGCACUUUCAGUGGGGAAGAAAGCCUUGGGGCUAAUACCCUCGAGGAAGGACAUCACCCACAGAAGAAGCACCGGCUAACUCCGUGCCAGCAGCCGCGGGAAUACGGAGGGUGCGAGCGGUAAUCGGAAUUACUGGGCGUAAAGCGCGCGUAGGCGGUCUGAUAAGCCGGUUGUGAAAGCCCCGGGCUCAACCUGGGAACGGCAUCCGGAACUGUCAGGCUAGAGUGCAGGUGAGGAAGGUAGAAUUCCCGGUGUAGCGGUGAAAUGCGUAGAGAUCGGGAGGAAUACCAGUGGCGAAGGCGGCCUUCUGGACUGACACUGACGCUGAGGUGCGAAAGCGUGGGUAGCGAACAGGAUUAGAUACCCGAGUAGUC